AGAGGCGUGCACGCGGCAAUACAUAACGACGAAACGCGACGCGGCGCGGCCCAAGCUCGCGGACCCUCACAUCCUGUCUAUGACAGGACGGCUGAUGGUCGGUCCCGUAUCCUCUGGCGUCCGAUAGUUUCAGACUCUAUUCGGAAAAAGAGCAAAGGGCCAGGAGAGGGAGAAAAACUCGUUUAUUUCGCUGUGUGUGUGUGGAGAAAUCUUAGGAAAAAGAAUGUAGAACCGAGUUGAGUAUUACAUCCGCGCUCAGAUACAAAGGGAACGAGGGAAGAGAUGGACCGUAGGUUCGUGGAUGUACGAAAUUGUGACUAGAACCCGAAAGAAACGGAAUUCACCGCAUACCAUAAUGAAAAAGCAUUUCUGCCGACGACGAUGAGAAGGAUGAAAAAAGUGAGAGACCUGUCGAAGGGAAUAUAGGCGCGGACAAUGAAGCGGAUGAGAGAGAAAGAGGGAGAUGGCGAAGCUAACAGCGAGGGGGAACCCGUGUAAAAGAGGCGAGAACGUGACGAAGCUCGCGGCGCGACGCCGCUUCACCACGCCUCGCCUCGCCGAGCGCGCCGAACGCGAGGGGGGAAUCGCAAGGGGGAAACGCGCGAGGGGAGCGCGGCGAUUUGGCAACGGCUUUUAUGGCUUUCGUUCGCGAUCGGUUGGAAGCCGCGCCACGCCGUUGUGCGCGGCAGUGUGGAGGACAAGAGAGCGGACGGGGGAACGAGAGAGCGAGCCGCGGCGGGCUAGCGUCCGGCAUACCGAAAACGAAACCGGGCCGCGAGUCGUGCCAACCGAGCGAACGUGUCCCGAAAAAAAGCGGGGAAAACGUCGGCUAUAUAUUGUUUUCUCUCUCAUUUGUCGCGCGUUUUAUGCGCAAAUGAUCGCGCGUUUUAACGCCUCGUAUCAUUGGUCAGGGUCAAUGACACAUACAUACACCGAGCACGUGCGCACGGUGGCAUUCUCGCACGGCCGUUCGCGAAUCCAUUAUCCGCGCGAAGGAAUUCUGUUUAUUAUCCCAUCGCCGGCUGUUUGCGACGUUCUCGGAUCACGUUAAGAUUGCGCCGAUCGAGUUAUUGCGCGCUCUAGUACGUUGUAAUAUACUAAUUAUCUCCUCUCUCUCUCUCUCGCUGAUGUAAACGGCCGGCUACUCAUUUCGUAUUCGAUCGCGACGGGGAAUCGAUGCGUGCGCGCCGACCAACCGUUUCAUAACGCCGACGACUGCGUGUCUGUCGCUCGUUCUACGUUAGCGGCCCUACAGAUCGAUCAUAUUUUUCAACUCGCUAUUGAGUAGUCAUGAUAUUUUACAUUGCCACAUCUGAUUUUCACGUUCUUCACAAUUAUUUCUGCAUAUUUAAAUGCCUUAUAGAUUAAUAGCCAUCGUACUUAUUACGACGCUCCGUCGCGAUCUUACAGCAUUAGUUUUAUCGAGAUAUACGCGGGUUUAAGCGAAACAGAUGAAUUCGUAGCUGUGACGAGCGCUUCAAGUGUCAGGAUUGUUCUUUCGGAGCUAGUCGAUCAACAGAAGAAAGGAAUUAUUGUCCACGGUGCAAUAUAGGGACUAUGGCUCGAAUCUUGUU